AGUGAAGCUAUGAGUAGUGAUGCAGGUUUCUCUGCUUUUUGCCCAACCUGUUGAUUGCAAGGCACAAUCUUUCUCUCCCAGUGGCUUCAGACCUCCAUCGCUUCACACUCUUUGCCAUCUUCGAGCUCUUGCUGUUAACCCUCGGGCCUGCGGAGAUAUGGGAACAUUAUCGGGAUAGGAGGCGCAUUUAGCAGCCGUUUAUUCACACACUUUCAGAGAAACUUCGAAGACUUUUGGAGGAAUAUUUCAAAGUGUUUCCAAGGGUAUAAAGGUGGAAAACAUCUUCCAACUCUAAGGACACGUAAAAAAGAACGGAAUCCCUGAGUGGAUUACCAAAAAUGAACAUGGCCUUUUCAUCCGAAAAGCACAAAUCCCUUUUCCCACUCCUCCUCUUCUUCCUCGUCUUCGUCCCGCUCACUUGUCUAUGCCAGACAACCAACACCAGCUCCUCCAAUGCAACCACCAACAUCCAAGCCACUUCCUCUCCGUCCUCAAAUGGUACCAUCCUGAAGCGAAUACCUGGCUGCAAAACAGGACUGAACCCCAUCUAUAGGUACCUGUGUGACCGCCGGGCAGCCUGGGGGAUCGUCCUGGAGACCCUGGCCUCCUCCGGCUUCCUGUUCAGCAUCUUUCUCCUUGUGAGCCUCCUCCUCUGGUCCCUGUGGCUCUGCAUCACCUUCAGGAACCAGCGCAGCAGCGUCGGAGGAACCGUGGCCUCCAUGUCCCUGUUCCUGCUCGCCAUCGCCGGGAUCUUCGCCAUCACCUUCUCCUUCAUCAUCCGACACACGUCUCAGACCUGCCCCACCAGAGUCUUCCUCUUCAGCGUCCUCUUCUCCCUCGCCUUCUCCUGUCUGUUGGCUCGAUGCCUCGCUUUGCUGGGCUUCGCAGCGGCUCGAGGAUGGGGGGAACCGGCCGUGGCUUUGGGACUUUUUACUGUCCAGGUUAUCAUCUCUACCCAGUGGCUAAUCAUAGUCUUGGUCCGGGACAAGAAGCCUUGCGAGUACAGCCAGGAGGAGUUCGUCAUGCUGCAGAUCUACGUCAUGUGUCUGCUGGCCAUCAGCUUGAUCCUCUCCAUGCACUUCCUGUGUCGCUCCUGCAACACCUACAGCUACAGCUACACCGGCGCCAUCGGCCAGCAGAGCCGACUUCACGCCACGCUGAUCUUCCUCACGCUGCUGUUCUCCGCCUGCAUCUGGGUGGUGUGGAUCACGAUGCUGGUCAGGGGGAAUCCAGAGUUGGACCGUCGGCCUCGAUGGGACGACCCGGUGAUCAGCAUCGCCUUGGUGGCAAACGGUUGGGUGCUUCUGAUAGGCCACGGGUUGUCCCAGAUCGCCUUUUUCUGCAGGGGGGAGGCCAAGUCCAAGGAAAUCCCUCUGAGCUUUGCAGGAUGGACGAGUCCCAGCGCUGAUAUACCAGGACUGAACAGCCCCAAGGAAGGGAAGGAGAACGGGAGCUUUGAGAGCGAUAGCGAGACCAGAAGAGAACUAAUCUCUUGGAACAGAUUCGAAGUUUUGGAAUCGGAAGCGUCCUGAUUUCUGCAGGAGGACGGAGCAGUCGCUGCGAUCACCCUACGAGUCUGGAUUCUCCAUGACAGACAUCGACCCCGACAAGGAUUACACCAUCCCUCGCCCGACGACCACCAACUACCUGGAACCUUAUGAUGAAUAUUGAUUGAAUAUAAUUGUUUGAUUCCUACACACACACACACACACACACACACACACACACACACGAACAUAAACUGAUGUAUACCAAAGACAACACCAAUGACCCAACUCAUGCACUGACCUGUGCUCUAAGGGAUACUUUAGCCACCCCGCAAAUACCAUUUAAAUAUCGAUUACUCACCGAGUGUUAUCUUGAAUUCUUGAAAAAGCUUUACUGAAUGCAGACGACAAAUCAAAACACUCGGAGAAGUCUUAAUGAAGGGAAGUAAAUGGUCCGAAAACUGCAUUAAACAUGACUUACAAACGUUUGCACGACUUUCAGGGUAUAAUUGAAGUCCUUUUUAUCCAAAUAUAUGCAAAUUAUUUUUUAAAACAUAGGUAUUUUUCCGAAUAUCUCACUAUUUAAUACACUUUUAAAGACCUGUGCAAACGCGCUACAAUUGCCCGAAACACAGCGAUGUAAAUAUAAUAACACACGUGCAAAAACGCAUGCAAAUGAAGAAACUGAAACUGCCUAAAUGAAAUCAAGCAACAGAAACGGGGACGCUAAUAAGUGACGCACACAGCUGUUGACCUUUGCGGAUUAUAAAGUUCGUCCACUGUAACUGUCACAGAGUUAGCCUGUCUCAUAACUCUUAAGUGUUUCGUCAGGAUAUUUGAAAGCACUACGUUAGCUAUGUUAGCUUACAGCAGAUCUGCAUUAAUAUUGGAAGGAAUCGAGCCUCGUCAUUGUUUAAAUGAAACCAAUUAGAACUCCUAAUGGAGUGCGUUUACCCCUGUCGGCCACCGUAUCGAACAGUUACGUCUUGUCCUUGCAAUCUGGGUUUUGUUGUUAAAUGUGGGCCUGAUUGUAUUUAAUUAAUCAAUAAUUCAAAUCCGUUUCUUAGCUCUUAAUUCACUGUAGAGGGACGCAGGAAGAACGCUAAUAUUUAUCCAAGAGUUUAAGGUAUCACCGGGGUGAGUUGAUAUUUACCGUCAUAUUUUCAUUUUGUGGAAGAAGUAUUCCUUUAAUGUACAAAAAAAAUGUGUUUCUCUACUUUUCAUUUCCUUGUGCAAAUGUAAAUAUGUGUCAUGAUGUGUUUUAAGAAACGUUACUUUAUAAAUGUGCCAAUAGGAUGUAAAACCCUCUCUGCUCAGCUGCCCGAGUUUCAUCAUGGAGGAGCGAUGGGUUCAGCUCAUGGGAAAUCCACCACCAAAUGCUCUGUGAUGGUGUGUGUGUGUGUGUGCGCGCUGCUCUCAGAGUGUAUAUAAAAGCCCUGAGGUGAGAGAGGAGGCGUGAAACUGCCGAGGAGAGGAAGGAUGAAAGUGUGGAGGGGGAUUAGAUGAGAGGAGACAAGAGGACGACGGUGCCAUCAGCGAUUAACAUCUUCAUAUUCAAAGUCACAUUACGCUGGGUUUUGUUGGUGCUACAGAAAACAAUGUGCACUAAUGACACGAGGUGGGCCUCUCAAGUGACUUUCUACACAUGCUCAAUAAAACGUUUCAUCUAUAGAA